rnacentral:rRNA from 1 species
CUUGCACGGUUGGAUUAGUGGCGAACGGGUGAGUAUCACGUGAGUAACCUUCCCUUAACUCUGGGAUAAGCCCGGGAAACUGGGUCUAAUACCGGAUACGACCAGUCCUCGCAUGGGGUGCUGGUGGAAAGAUUUAUCGGUUUUGGAUGGACUCGCGGCCUAUCAGCUUGUUGGUGAGGUAAUGGCUCACCAAGGCGAUGACGGGUAGCCGGCCUGAGAGGGUGACCGGCCACACUGGGACUGAGACACGGCCCAGACUCCUACGGGAGGCAGCAGUGGGGAAUAUUGCACAAUGGGCGAAAGCCUGAUGCAGCGACGCCGCGUGCGGGAUGACGGCCUUCGGGUUGUAAACCGCUUUCAGCAGGGAAGAAGCGAAAGUGACGGUACCUGCAGAAGAAGCGCCGGCUAACUACGUGCCAGCAGCC